ACAUAUUUACUUAUUUAUUGCUUCUGAGUUCUGCCACUCGAACUCGGUCGGCGUUCUUCUCUUCUCACUGACCGUCUCCGAGAAAAGAUGGCGAAGCGUGAGACGAUGUGGAAAGGAGGAGGCAACAAAUCGCAAGCAGAGACGGAGAAAAAUUUCCAGAUCCGUCGUAAAGGUAGAUCUGAAGGUGCGAGGAGAAAUGAGCGAAGGAGGGUUGCUGGAAAUCGAGCCUAAGGAGUUCAAGUUCGAUUUUGAGUUGAAGAAGCAGAGCUCGUGCUCCCUGAAACGAAUUAACAAGACAGAUCAAUAUGUUGUCUUUAAGAAGAAAAGGAUUAUGCUGAGUGCCACAGGCUUAGGAUGUUACCCGUGCUUCUUUUUGUUGUUGUUAGUGACCGUCAUAGUUUUUAUGGCUUGAAAGCAAUGGGCUCCUUUCAUGGUUGGAAGAUCUCCAACAAAUAGGCAUGGUGUUUUUUAAAGAGGUUCUUCCCUAUCUCUUAUAACGUCUGUCUCUCUUGCAUCUAACUCCCAUUAUUUUUCCCUUUGUCAAUAACUACUAAGCUUUUAUUCUCAACCUUGCCAAGAAGAGCCAUGAUGAGAAAAACAGUAGUUUUCUUACAAUUAUUGUGCAUAUAUUUGUACUUAUGUAUUGACAGGAACGGAUUGAUAUUAAAUUAUAAUAUAAAAUUCAGAUAUCUUAGAAAUGAUGUGUCUUUUUGAAGAAAGAAUUUUUCUCACGCCUCCAUUAGGGAUAUAUUAUACUAGUAUGUAUAUAUUUUGUAUGCAUCCGUCUAAUUGUUUUUUAUGUUAAA